rnacentral:rRNA from 1 species
AAAUGCGUUGAUAUCUAUCGGAACGCCGAAGGAGAAAUCAGGCAGCUGGGCCUGUCCUGACGCUGAGGUACGAAAGCGUGGGUAGCGAACGGGAUUAGAUACCCCGGUAGUCCACGCCGUAAACGAUGUGCACUAGAUCGAGGGGCUUCUGACACCGCUCUUGGUCGAAGCGAAAGUCUUAAGUGCACCGCCUGGGGAGUACGGUCGCAAGGCUAAAACUCAAAGGAAUUGACGGGGGCUCACACAAGCGGUGGAGCAUGUGGCUUAAUUCGAAGCAACGCGAAGAACCUUAUCCUGGGUUUGACAUGCACGGAUUAGCCCGGUGAAAGUCGGGUGACGCUCUUUGAGUGGAACGUGCACAGGUGCUGCAUGGCUGUCGUCAGCUCGUGCUGUGAAGUGUCGGGUUAAGUCCCUUAACGAGCGCAACCCCUGUCGCUAGUUGCCAGCGCGUUAUGGCGGGGACUCUAGCGAGACUGCCGGUCUCAAACCGGAGGAAGGUGGGGAUGACGUCAAGUCCGUAUGGCCUUUAUGCCCAGGGCUGCACACGUGCUACAAUGGCCGGUACAGAACGACGCAAUACCGCAAGGUGGAGCAAAUCGCAAAAGCCGGCCCCAGUUCGGAUUGCAGGCUGCAACUCGCCUGCAUGAAGUUGGAAUCGCUAGUAAUCGCGGAUCCGCAAUGCCGCGGUGAUACGUUCCUGAGCAUUGUACACACCGCCCGUCAAGUCAUGGAAGCUGGCAGCGCCAGAAGUCGCCGCGACUCAGCGGUGCCCACG